UACGUAGGGGGCAAGCGUUGUCCGGAUUUAUUGGGCGUAAAGGGCGCGUAGGCGGCCUGGUAAGUCGGGGGUGAAAACUCAGGGCUCAACCCUGAGACUGCCUUCGAUACUGCUGGGCUUGAGUGCUCUAGAGGGUAGUGGAAUUGCCGGUGUAGCAGUGAAAUGCGUAGAGAUCGGCAGGAACACCAGUGGCGAAGGCGACUGCCUGGGGAGUAACUGACGCUGAGGCGCGAAAGCUGGGGGAGCAAACGGG
rnacentral:rRNA from 1 species